rnacentral:lncRNA from 1 species
UCCUUCCUUCCAUGUUUAUCAAAUGCCUACCAUGUGCCAUCCACUCUGCCAGACACUGGACAUGAGAAUAUGUGAUCUGUACCCAAAUCUGCUCACAUCUUCUUCCAUUUUUACUCUGUUUUUGUCAGCGUAUAUUCUGUUUUGCUUAAUAUUGAUUCUCACUCCAUUUAUUUUAUUUUUUUUUUCCCUCCAGAGUUGCUUCUACUUCAAUUUCUGGUCCUUUCCUAAGGCUGAGUUGAAGGCUGCAUCGUCAGAAGCUUGCCUCUAGGAUGCCUUGUUGUCGGAGCAGCUUCAGUGGGUCACAUGGAGGGGCCCUAGUUGUCUCACUGAAUGGUUGCACCUGAUCAGAAAAUGGUUGUCCGCCCCACCCAUGGGGUUUCUACAUCAGGAGCAUGACAGGUGAAUGUGAUUUGCCUUAGGACUGGUGGUGGGGGGACAACGAACGAUGAGAUAUGCACCACCUUGGUCUUUCCUUCCCUCACACUUGGGGGCAGAAACG